UUUAUUAAACCGUUUGUCUAUUUGUGUGGUAGCAUGUUCAGGAGAAUUGCUUCUAACACAGUUUGUCACAAACCAAUUAUGUUAUCACAUUUACAGAUUAGUGCCUUGAAAGGAGUCCUUGAAAAACUGAAAAACAAUAGAUUUCCACUUUACGGGAAGAAAUAUGGCCAGUUGCCAAUGUGUGAAGCAGGUGAGCGGUGUGCUCUGCGGAAAGGCGCGCGGAUCGGGAAACUCUGCGAUUGUCCAUACAGAAUAUCCUGCAAUUCAUUUCUGCUUAGGUGUUUGUGAUUAUCUGUCCAGAAACCCAGUAUAACAGGAUAAACCAUAAUUUCACUCAAAAAAAAGAUUAUUAUAAAUGUUUAUCCGAAAAAAAUGCAUAUGUGGAGGGUUUAGCAAUUCCCCACUACUUGUAGCUAUUUUCUUUUCGAUAAUGACCGCGGCCAAAAGUUCAUAUUGCGAUGUAAAGUUUGCCAUUUGUGUUUAUGCUUUUUUAAACAUUUGACGUCAAAUAGCCUAAAUGAGAAACGGGAGAUUUGGCAUUUUUACAUAUUGCAUCAAUAAAUGUAAUCCAUUAA